GGAAUUUACGGGCAUACUCCGACACUGUCAUGUUUCCCUGAACCAAUUGAGCAAACUCCAUUUUCUUUAGGUGUCGGAUGUGUUUAGGGAGAUACUCCGCGUGGAAGGCCGCUAAGAACUGCUCCCAAGUAGCUGGUGUAGGCAGGGUGGUCCGCUUGAGCUCCCACCAGCGUACUGCUUCCCCUACCAGCAUGUAGGAGGCAAUGGCAGCCCUCUGC
rnacentral:lncRNA from 1 species